ensembl:snoRNA SNORD63 Small nucleolar RNA SNORD63
GUGCUGUGAUGCAAUUAUAUCAACGCCUCAUUCUGAAAUGUUAUGUGGAAGAUUGAUGACUGAGCAUG